CCAUUCCUCCUCACAUCAGUUUUACCUUCAAUCCGAAGGAAGGGAUUGAUAAUCCAGCUCUGGUCAUCAGUGAUGAUCCUGAGCCUGAUCCGAGCCCGGUGCCCACACUCUGCCAGCUGAAGCGGCUGGAGGGACAAAGCUUCGGCUUCUACCUGCGGACGGACAAGAGCAGCCGGAGCUUUGAGAUCAGAGACGUGGACCCCUGGAGUCCUGCAGGGCAUAGUGGCCUCAAGGAUGGAGACCGAGUGCUGGAGGUCAACGAGGAAUAUGUGGACAACACGGACUUCUCCAGGAUUGUGAGGAAGAUCCAGUCAUGCGGCUUCCACCUGUUCCUCCUGGUGUUGAGGAGGGAAGAGUACGAACAGGUACUGU